rnacentral:rRNA from 1 species
CGCAAUGGACGAAAGUCUGACGCAGCGACGCCGCGUGGGCGAUGAAUGCCUUCGGGUCGUAAAGCCCUUUUCUGGGGGAAGAGAAAGGACUGUACCCCAUGAAUAAGCCCCGGCUAACUACGUGCCAGCAGCCGCGGUAAAACGUAGGGGGCAAGCGUUAUCCGGAUUUACUGGGCGUAAAGAGCGUUGAGGCGGUUUUGUAAGUUGGGCGUGAAAGCCCUGGGCUUAACUCAGGGAAGCCGUUCAAUACUGCGAAACUUGAGGGCAGCAGAGGGAGGUGGAAUUCCCCGGAGUAGCGGUGAAAAUGCGUAGAUAUCGGGAGGAACACCAAGUGGCGAAAGGCGGUCUCCUGGGCUGCUCCUGACGCUGAAGCCGAAGCAUAGGGGAGCGAACGGGAUUAGAAACCCCGGUAGUCCUAGCCGUAAACGAUGGAUGCUAGGUGUCAGAAGGUGUAGAUUCCCUCCGUGGCGCAAUUAAACGCGUUAAAGCAUCCCGCAUGGGGAGUACGGCCGCAAGGCUAAAACUCAAACGAAUUGACGGGGGCCCGCACAAGCAGCGGAGCGUGUGGUUUAAUUCGAUGCUACACGAAG